rnacentral:rRNA from 1 species
UACGUAGGUGGCAAGCGUUGUCCGGAAUUAUUGGGCGUAAAGCGCGCGUAGGUGGCUUCGUAAGUCCGUUGUGAAAGUCAAAGGCUCAACCUUUGAAUGCCGAUGGAUACUGCGGAGCUAGAGUACGGAAGAGGCGAGUGGAAUUCCUGGUGUAGCGGUGGAAUGCGCAGAUAUCAGGAGGAACACCAAUAGCGAAGGCAGCUCGCUGGGACGUUACUGACACUAAGGCGCGAAAGCGUGGGGAGCGAACAGG